GUGCUUGCUUCAGCAGCACAUAUACUAAAAUUGAAAUGAUACAGAGAAGAUUAGCAUUGCCCCUGCACAAAGAUAACAUGUAAAUUCAUGAAGUAUUCCAUAUUUUU
rfam:Tupaia chinensis contig115364, whole genome shotgun sequence.